AGUGGGGAAUAUUGGACAAUGGGCGAAAGCCUGAUCCAGCAAUACCGCGUGAAUGAUGAAGGCCUUAGGGUUGUAAAGUUCUUUUAGUUGGAAAGAUAAUGACGGUACCAACAGAAAAAGCCCCGGCUAACUCCGUGCCAGCAGCCGCGGUAAGACGGAGGGGGCUAGCGUUGUUCGGAAUUACUGGGCGUAAAGGGCGCGUAGGCGGAUUAGUAAGUUGGGAGUGAAAGCCCGGGGCUUAACCUCGGAACUGCUUUCAAAACUGCUAGUCUUGAGUGAAGUAGGGGAUGAUGGAAUUCCUAGUGUAGAGGUGAAAUUCUUAGAUAUUAGGAGGAACACCGGUGGCGAAGGCGGUCAUCUGGACUUCAACUGACGCUGAGGCGCGAAAGCGUGGGGAGCAAA
rnacentral:rRNA from 1 species